rnacentral:lncRNA from 12 species
GCCAUCUCACCCCACCCUACCCUUGGCCUGCUGUUCUCUGAGCCAGUCUGUGCCAAUGACCUGACUGUUGAGAGGAGAUAGCGGGAGACUGAGAAGGAAUGAAGGACUCUCAGAAAUCCCUUGAGUUUCACAUACUUCUGGAACUUCAUUUUGAUCAUCUAGAGAGAGGCUCCACCCUCUUUGUACCCAUCAAAAGGACCAUGCCUGCCACGCCCUGGUCUGGACUCUUGCAGCCACAGAGGCUUCCUCAGAUUCCCAGCCUCGGCUCCUCAGGCGCAGCCCUGGGGAGGAGGCCGGCUCCACGCUCCACCCCCUGGAACGUAGAUAAGAGGCCUUCUCCUUACCUCAGCUCCCCAGAAGGCAACCGGAAGGGUUUCAUGUUCCUGUCCAGGCUGAAGGAUCCAGAAGUACCUUCAAGAUGCCAGUUCACUUCCGCUCCCAAGAAGACCCCGCAGCCCCAUGUGCUCCUCCUCAGAGCGGCCGGCACUGGGCAUGCAGAGCCCGCCUUCAGUGCUGGGCUGAGGCUCUCUCCCCGCCUGGAGAACCGCAGGUCGCAAGACCCAGGGGGGCCGCCUGGGUGGCUCAGGGGUUGAGCAUCUGCAUUUGGCUCAGGGCGUGGCCCUGGGGUGGGGUGGGGGGGCUCCCUGCAGGGAGCCUGCUUCUGUCUCUGCCUCUCUCUGUGUCUCGAAUGAAUGAUAGAAUGAAUGAAUGAAUAAAUAAAUAAAAUAGAAGACA